GGAGCGCUGGCUAUUUUCAGUUGGGCCGCCUGUUAUAGACCUUUCCAAUCCAUUGGCAGAUAUUUACACUAGACUAAUUUGAUGCUCAAAGUUGUUCAGGCUGAAAUUUACACAAUUAGGAAUUUAACAGGUAAACAGACGGGCAGAAACUCAGGUUCAACUUUCACACUCAAACUAACCAAUUCAUAUAUGCUUACAAUUUGUAAUAUUCAUGUGAUAUCUUUCACCUAAUUAUCAUAAAAACUUAAAUGAUCUGUUGUCCCUAAAUUUAGUACUUUCGUCUAACUAGAACUCAAAUAAAACCAAAGAAGCUCGGACAAAUUCUAUUUAAUAUAGAUUGAAAAUGAUCACAACUGCCAAAUGCUCUAUCACCUUACCUUUUAAACAAAUUUAGGAAACUACUGAUAGGAAUUCACCUGAAACUAACUCAAAUUAUUCCACUAACCUAACAUGAAGUUAAUUGCAACUAAUACUCAUAUUCAAAAGCUCUUGUUCAUUUUAGACAGAAUGGCUAACAGUACAGCAGUAUUCAAUAGUCCAGUAUAACCCACUUACACGUUAACAGUCCAAACAGUCUACUACAAAUAAGCCAAAACAAUGAAUUCAUCCAAAAAAUCCUAGAACUAGUUAUAAUGCAAUUGACGAAUAAAACAGUAAAAGCUUCGAUGAAGACCAGCAACUGCAUUUCCAUUUCAUGAAAGAAUUACAUUAAUGCAGUCUCGAGUUUGUAUCUGAAAUUCGAAUUGAAAUAGGAAAAGGAAAGGUUAGCAGCAGUAAUAACUUCAGCAGCAACUCAGAAACCAGUUUAAAUCCCCAGCAGCAAUCAAUGAAGAGUAAUAACAGUCCAGCAAAGAUUCAGCAGUUCAGAAAUGAGUUGAAAAAACAAGCAGUCAGAUUAACCCAAAGCUAGUUCAAACAAGCUCAAACGACUUCCAGAUGGACCCAGAAUCAAAUCACAACCCAGAACCCAAACUGCUCCUAAAAUGUCUUCAACUGAACCCAAAAUCUACUUGAAAACCAAACAGAAACACUUUUGAACUUCAAUUACCAGAGAUUAAGCUAGGAAAAUCCAAUCAACAGCUAAAAGUUGAUAUUCACCUAGAAUUUUAAUGAAACCGUAAUUUUUUUUUUGGUUUUUCUAUUAUUUUUGUUGUUUUUUAUUUUUGAAGAGCUAGAUCUAAAAUUAGAAUUUGAAAAUCAAAUCUGAAACUCAAAUUUGCAGAAAGAGGUUUCGGGGGGAAAUUUGGUGGCCCAAAAAAAAAUUUGCAUUAAGGCACUAAGGCUGCCUUUUAUAGGCAUAAGGAAGGGCAGACUUGAAAAUCUAUUAAUACUAUUGAUCCCUUUUUUUUGUUCAUUUUUAAUCAGGCAGUCCUUUAUUUCCUGACUUGCGCCUCAAGUUAGUAUACCUAUCUUUUGUUAUUUACCUUAAAAUCCCCAUCUAGAAACUUCCAGUAGGUUCUAAUUCAUUCCACUUGUAGGAUUUACCAUUUGAACUCCCUACUUUGCCCUUACCAUUUCCCCUGAAUUACCCCUAAAUUAUCCAAUGAAGCCAACUGACCCCAUCCCCCUUACCCAUGAUUAUCUAACAAAUAACUAUAGCUGACUAACAAGACUCAGCAGCCCAAACAAACGACAAAGUAAUCCACUGUGAAACACGAGAUUAAACUAAUAUCAACUCGUCACUCAACUAAUAAACAAGAAUCAAAUGAACUACAAUCUAAUGGAUGAACAAUUAAGCCCAAAUUAGAUCACCAAAUUAUAACAGAAUAAAAAAAUGGGAAUUAACCUAGACAAUAAACACUACGAGAAUAGAUUAACUCAUCGAAAUUACCUAAAUAUUUAUUACCUAAACAUUUAAACUAACAUUAACAGACAGAAUCAGAUUGAUAUUUAAACUAGACAGUCAAUUGAAAUUAUGCAGAACAUAAAAUAAUUUUUAUUUAUCAGCAAAAACACGAAUCAAACUAAUAAAAACCAAAACUAAAGAAAAAACAAAAAAUAAAAAGAGAAGAGACACUCACUGAUCUAAAUCCUUAAAACAUACUCGAACCUCAUAAACCAUAUAUCAACAAUUCGACGAGUUCCGGUGGUAUUUGAGCUUCAAUGAUGCUGAAAUCCUCAUGAGGAAGAGUAGGGGAUCACAUGGUAUUGAUUUGGAGUGAUUUGGGGCAACUAGGGUUUUUGCCGAAAAAUUUCAAAUCGAUAUUCGAGAAGUUCCGGCCAUAUUCGAGGGUCAGGGCCUUCGGGGUUGGAUAAAGGACAGGGAGACGGUCUUAUGGUAUAAUUUUGGUGGAAUGGUGGUGAACGGAGAGAGUUGUGUGGUAGACGUAAAAUCUUUGACCCAAGAUUCGACACAUUUGGCCGGGAUUUGACGGAAACAGGUGGUGACUCCAAUGCAACAACGAUGAACUCCGGUGAACAACGGCAAACAUGCAAAACUCUGAUGAUGGUGAAUGGAGGUCUAGAUGGGGAUAGCGACAACUAGGACUUGUGGGAAAAGAAGAUAUGAAGAAUGAGAAGUUAGGAAGAAAGAGGGGGAAAAGAGGAAGAUCUUCAAAAUUCAUAAUUAUGUGAAAUUUGUUAGCGGUUUUAUAUGUUUUAUAAAUAUUUUAUUGUUAUAUCCUAAGAGUGAAAUAAUG
rnacentral:lncRNA from 1 species